CGACGAAACCCUAGCAGAGUAAAUCCUUUUAGUUCUCUUCUCCUCUCUCUCAACAACCACGAUUUCUCUUCAUCUCUCAUCACUCACCACAACUAUAAGUCACCCUUUCUGUUAUUCUCACUGACCUUCACAAAAAACCAUUGAUCUACUUUGUUCUACCAUUGUUCUUCUACUUGCAAAAGUUUCAGAUUGUUGGUAACAAAGAUUGUCCAAAAGGGUAACAUUUUCGGCAUGUCGGACCUCUUCAAAAAACCCAUGAAGAUAUGGCUGUAGGACACCAUUCUUGAAAUUGAAAAUGAUGUGUUAACAAUGUUGUUGUUGUCGGUGACAACACACUCGUUUCUUGUUCUUCAGAUAUAACCCUUAAGACAUGGAAUGCUUUGUCCACUAAAACUUGUUUGAUGAAGAAUGAUAAUUGCUCGGAUGCUUUAUAAUGAGGGAUCCAGUCAAGAGAUGUUUAAGGUUUCUAUGUGACUCAUGAAAGAAAACACUCUGUUUAUUUCUACUUGGACCAGAACGUGGUUUUUCUUUUCUAGUUUGGCUAGCCUUGCUUUGAUGGGGACAAAUAGUUGA